AGUGAACGCUGGCGGUAGGCCUAACACAUGCAAGUCGAACGGCAGCACAGUAAGAGCUUGCUCUUACGGGUGGCGAGUGGCGGACGGGUGAGGCAUACAUCGGAAUCUACUUUUUCGUGGGUGAUAACGUAGGGAAACUUACGCUAAUACCGCAUACGACCUACGGGUGAAAGCAGUGGAUCUUCGGACCUUUCGCGAUUGAUUGAGCCGAUGUCGGAUUAGCUAGUUGGCGGGGUAAAGGCCCACCAAGGCGACGAUCCGUAGCUGGUCUGAGAGGAUGAUCAGCCACACUGGAACUGAGACACGGUCCAGACUCCUACGGGAGGCAGCAGUGGGGAAUAUUGGACAAUGGGCGCAAGCCUGAUCCAGCCAUACCGCGUGGGUGAAGAAGGCCUUCGGGUUGUAAAGCCCUUUUGUUGGGAAAGAAAAGCAGCAGGUUAAUACCCCGCUGUUCUGACGGUACCCAAAGAAUAAGCACCGGCUAACUUCGUG
rnacentral:rRNA from 1 species